AGUGCGAGGGCAAAAGCUUGUCUAACUGUAUUCUGAACAGCAAAGAAUGCAGAGGCGAAAGCCGGGCUUAGUGAACCCACAUGCUCUUUUAAUAGGAGCUGUGUCUGAUAGAAAAGUUACCCCAAGGAUAACAGGCUUGUCGCGCCCGAUAGUCCGAAUUGACGGCGCGGUUUGGUACAUCGCUGUCGGCUCUCCCUAUCCUGCGCGUGCAGAAGCGUGCAAGGGUGUCGGAGUUCACGCAUUAAAAGGGAUCGUUAGCUGGGUUAAGAACGUCGUGAGACAGUUUGUAUGAUAUCUACUAGGUGUGUUAUUGUCUGAGUGGAACAAGUUUCUAGUACGAGAGGAACCAAGCUUGGGUGCCUCUGGUGAGCAGUUGUCAAUUGGCAGGCUGCAUAGCUACGCACUAAACGGAUAAGAGCUGAAUGCAUCUAAGCUCGAAGUCGUCCGCAAAACGAGACAAUUAAAGCCGUCAAAGAAGAUGACGUUGAUAGAGUUGUUGUGUAAGAUUCAAGUUUUUUACGAAACGAGAAUUUCAGCAUACAACUACUAAAAGCUUCAAUUGUAGUAUUU
rnacentral:rRNA from 1 species